rnacentral:rRNA from 1 species
AUUGAACGCUGGCGGCAGGCCUAACACAUGCAAGUCGAGCGGUAGAGAGGUGCUUGCACCUCUUGAGAGCGGCGGACGGGUGAGUAAUGCCUAGGAAUCUGCCUGGUAGUGGGGGAUAACGCUCGGAAACGGACGCUACUACCGCAUACGUCCUACGGGAGAAAGCAGGGGACCUUCGGGCCUUGCGCUAUCAGAUGAGCCUAGGUCGGAUUAGCUAGUUGGUGAGGUAAUGGCUCACCAAGGCGACGAUCCGUAACUGGUCUGAGAGGAUGAUCAGUCGCACUGGAACUGAGACACGGUCCAGACUCCUACGGGAGGCAGCAGUGGGGAAUAUUGGACAAUGGGCGAAAGCCUGAUCCAGCCAUGCCGCGUGUGUGAAGAAGGUCUUCGGAUUGUAAAGCACUUUAAGUUGGGAGGAAGGGUCGUUACCUAAUACGUGACGAUUUUGACGUUACCGACAGAAUAAGCACCGGCUAACUCUGUGCCAGCAGCCGCUGUAA